UUGGCGAAAAAAAAGAAGGGUCAUAUAGCAAGCUACAAGUCGUCGCUGCCUCCUGGCCGGGCCAGUGGGCCGUUGCUGCCGUCAACCCUGGCCGGGCCACCGCCAUCGAUUCCUCUCCAAGUUGAGUUGCCACCACCGCCUCCUCUCCACGUUGAGCUGCCGCCGUCGCCCCCUGGCCGGGCCGCCACCGUCACCUCCUCCCCAUGCCGAGUUGCCACCGCCGCCUCCUCCCACCGUCAAGCUGCCACCGUCGUCACCCGCUGGCUGGGCUGCCGCCGUCGCCUCCUCUCCGUGAUGAGCUACUGCCGCCUGACUGGGAUGUCGUCGUCGCCUCUUCACUCGCGCAGAGUCGCUGCUGCCGCCUCCAAGCUCCCUGCCCGCCACCACCUUCAAGCCUCCUCUCAGCCGCCACCUAACCCCCUCCCCAUCGUCGCCUCCAAGCCUCCUCACCCCCGCCGCCACGCCCUCUCCCCAUGCAGGGCAGGAGGGGUCUGCGCCGAGGCGCCACCUGCUGAUGCCUGCUCACCGCCACCCCCUGCCUCCGAUGCAUGGAAGCCCAUUAAAAAAAAUAGGAAUCCACCAACACACAUCCACUCCCCACUUGCGCUCCUUGCGGCGCCGUCGUCGGCGGCGCCGCCCCGCCAUCGAUGGACCUAG
rnacentral:lncRNA from 1 species